rnacentral:rRNA from 1 species
UAGGGAAUCUUCCGCAAUGGGCGAAAGCUUGACGGAGCAACGCCGCGUGAGUGAUGAAGGUCUUCGGAUCGUAAAACUCUGUUAUUAGGGAAGAACAAAUGUGUAAGUAACUAUGCACGUCUUGACGGUACCUAAUCAGAAAGCCACGGCUAACUACGUGCCAGCAGCCGCGGUAAUACGUAGGUGGCAAGCGUUAUCCGGAAUUAUUGGGCGUAAAGCGCGCGUAGGCGGUUUUUUAAGUCUGAUGUGAAAGCCCACGGCUCAACCGUGGAGGGUCAUUGGAAACUGGAAAACUUGAGAGCAGAAAAGGAAAGUGAAAUACCAUGUGUAGCGGUUGAAUGCGCAUAGAUAUGGAGGAAAACCAGUGGCGAAGGCGACGUUCUGGUCUGAAACUGACGCUGAUGAGCGAAAGCAAGGGGAUCAAACAGG